GACGAACCGUGCGAACGUUUAUUCGGAAUCACUGGGCUUAAAGGGCGCGUAGGCGGGCCCACCAGUCAGGGGUGAAAUCCCACGGCCCAACCGUGGAAGUGCCUUUGAUACUGUGGGCCUCGAGGGGGAUAGGGGCGUGCGGAACUUCAGGGGUGGAGCGGUGGAAAUGCGUAGAUAUCGGAGGAAUACCGGUGGCGAAAGGCGGCAGUCC
rnacentral:rRNA from 1 species